GCUCCGCCUCGCGGCGCCUCAGUUUCCAGCGCUGUCGGCCCGCAGGACGGGCUUGCGCGCGUCUCGGAGCGCCUGGGGAAAACCGAACCAUCUAACUUCUGAUAGAGCGUUCUCCAGAGUCAGCAGUGAUCUGGUGAAGCGCAGAUUGCCAUAUUCACCUUUGUAACCUUGAAGCAAGGUUGAGGUGUUGCCGUGUUGCCAUGCAACUGGGUUCAAGGGAUCCUUCCAUGUCAGCCUGCCAAGGGCAGCAGCUGGGACUCAGGCACUGCCAUUGUAUCUGGAAUCUUCACCUUUUUGUCUGCUUGUUUGUGUGGUAUUGGGGAUUGAAUCCAGGGUAUCAAUGCACACUAGGCAGUGGUCUACUAUUGGGUUAAUAAUAUCCCUUAGUUAUUGCAGGCUGAUCAGGUCCACAAUCUCCUGAAUGAGUGUACGGCAAAG